AUUGAACGCUGGCGGCAUGCCUUACACAUGCAAGUCGAACGGCAGCACGGGAGCAAUCCUGGUGGCGAGUGGCGAACGGGUGAGUAGUACAUCGGAACGUGCCUAGUAGUGGGGGAUAGCCCGGCGAAAGCCGGAUUAAUACCGCAUGCGACCUGAGGGUGAAAGCGGGGGAUCGAAAGACCUCGCGCUAUCAGAGCGGCCGAUGCCAGAUUAGGUAGUUGGUGGGGUAAAAGCCUACCAAGCCGACGAUCUGUAGCUGGUCUGAGAGGACGGCCAGCCACACUGGGAGUGAGACACGGCCCGGACUCCUACGGGAGGCAGCAGUGGGGAAUUUUGGACAAUGGGCGCAAGCCUGAUCCAGCCAUGCCGCGUGCAGGAAGAAGGCCUUCGGGUUGUAAACUGCUUUUGUCAGGGAAGAAAAGUUCUGGGCUAAUACCCCGGAGCGAUGACGGUACCUGAAGAAUAAGCACCGGCUAACUACGUGCCAGCCGCCGCGGUAA
rnacentral:rRNA from 1 species